rnacentral:rRNA from 1 species
CCCUUAGAUGUCCUGGGCCGCACGCGCGCUACACUGAGUGUCUGAGAUACGAGUCUGCCUGGUCCGGCAAGGUCUAGGUAAUCGCUAAAAGACACAUCAUGCUUGGGAUAGAUUAUUGCAAAUAUUAAUCUUGAACGAGGAAUUCCUAGUAAGCGCAAGUCAACAUCUUGCGUUGAUUACGUCCCUGCCCUUUGUACACACCGCCCGUCGCUACUACUGAUUGGAUGUUUAAGCGAGGUUCUCGAACUGCUAGCGACUUAGCUUCGGUGAGGUCGCAGUGUGGGAAGUGAACCUAGCUUUGGUGUCUAGAGGAAGUAAAAGUCGUAACA